GGGGUGGGGGAGGGGGUGGGGGAGGGUCCCGGAGAGCCCCUCCCCCCACAGGCGGACACCACACGGAACUGACCAAUCAGCUUCGAGCUUUAUUCUGGUGGGGGGGAGGGGCAAUAAAUAAGGGGGGGAGGGGCGGUCAGGGCAGGAGGAGGGGGAGGGGCAGCAGGAGGAGGAGGAGGAGGGGGAGGGGCGAGGAGGAAGGGGCGGAGCCCGAGAGGCCGGGGGGGCCGGGGGGGGGAGGGGCGGCGGCGGUGACGGGGAAGGAGUGGGCGUGGCAGGGUGGGGGAGGGGCGGGGCCGCCCACCGCGACGUCACCGCCCGGGGCCACCAUGAUGGCGUUGGGGACGGGGGUGGUGGCACCGGGGGGGACGUCGGGGGCGCGUCCCAGAGGGUCCCCGGAGGUGUUGGUGGCACCGGGCGGGGCCGUCACCUCCAUGGCGACGUCAGCGCUGGUGGCCACCGGGGCUUUGUCACCUCCUGGGGACACGGUGACAGUGGCCACCAUGGUGGUGGCAUCUCCGUAGGCUUCGCUGACGCGUCCCAAAGUGUCCCUGGGGUCACCGGUGGCUUCGGGCUGGGCUGUCCCCUCCAUGGCCACGUCCCCACUGGUGGCCACCAGGACUUUGUCACUUCCUGGGGAUGUGGAGACAGGUGCAACCACGGUGGUGGCAUCUCCGUAGGCUUCAGUGAUGAAUCCCAAAGUGUCCCUGGGGUCACCAGUGGCACUUGGAUCUUCUGUCCCCUCCACAGCGAUGUCCCCACUGGUGGCCAGCAGGGCUUUGUCACCUCCUGGGGACACUGGGACAGAGGCCACCGUGGUGGUGGCAUCUCCGGGGACCUCAGGGACACGUCCCAAAGUGUCCCAGGAGCAGUUGGUGGCACCGGGCUGGGCCGUCCCCUCCAUGGCCACAUCCUCUCCAGGGGCCACCAGCAUCUUGUCACUUCCUGGGGAUGUGGUGACAGUGGCCAUCGUGGUGGUGGCAUCUCCGUAGGCUUCGGUGACGCAUCUCAGAGCACCCCUGGGGUCACCGGUGGCACUCGGAUCUUCUGUCCCCUCCAUGGCCACGUCAGCGCUGGUGGCCACCAGGGCUUUGUCACCUCCUGGGGACACUGGGACAGAGGCCGCCGUGGUGGUGGCAUCUCCAGUGACAUCACUGAGAUGUCCCAAAGUGUCCCUGGGGUCACCAGUGGCUUCAGGUGUGGCCGUCACCUCCAUGGUCACGUCCCCACUGGUGGCCACCAGGACUUUGUCACCUCCUGGGGAUGUGGUGACAGUGGCCACCAUCGUGGUGGCAUCUGCGUAGGCUUCGCUGACGCGUCCCAGAGCGUCCCUGGGGUCAUCGGUGACACUCGGAUCUUCUGUCCCCCCCAUGGCCACGUCCCCACUGGUGGCCACCAGGACUUUGUCACCUCCUGAGGACACUGGGACAGAGGCCAUCGUGGUGGUGGCAUCUCCGUAGGCUUCAGUGACGUGUCCCGAACUGUCCCUGGGGUCACCGGUGGCACCUGGAUCUUCUGUCCCCUCCACCUCGAUGUCACCCUGGGUGGCCACCAGGAUUUUGUCACUUCCUGGGGAUGUGGUGACAGUGGCCACCAUGGUGGUGGCAUCUCCAUAGGCUUCAGUGAUGAAUCCCAGAGUGUCCCUGGGGUCACCGGUGACAUCGGGCUGGGCUGUCUCCUCUAUUGCCACGUCCCCACUUGUGACUUCCAGCACUUUGUCACCUCCUGAGGACACUGGGACAGAGGCCGACGUGAUGGUGGCAUCUCCAGGGACCUCAGGGACGCGUCCCAAAGUGUCCCAGGAGCAGUUGGUGGCACUGGGCUGGGCCGUCCCCUCCAUGGUGACAUCCCCAGUGGUGCCCACCAGAGCUCGGUCCCCUCCUGGGGACGUGGCGACAGCGGCCACCAUGGUGGUGGCAUCUCCAUAGGCUUCAGUGACACGUCCCAGAGCAUCCCUGGGGUCACCGGUGGCACUCGGAUCUUCUGUCCCCUCCACCGCGAUGUCCCCACCGGGGGCCACCAGCGCCGCGUCCGCCACCGGGACGUCCCUGGAGCAGUUGGGGGUCCCUGGGGCCGCCCCCAGGGAUGUCCCCAGAGGUGUCCCCGAUGUCCCUGAUGUCCCCAGAGAUGUCCCCAACGAUGUCCCCGGUGUCCCCAAGGGUGUCCCCGAUGUCCCCAGAGAUGUCCCCGAUGUCCCCAGAGGUGUCCCCGAUGCCCUCUCGUCGCAGUCCGGUGGCAGCUCCGGGGGUGGGGGAGGGGAGGGCGGUGGGGGAGGGGCGGUGGGGCCGCAGCGCCGGGGUGGGGGAGGGGCAGGGGUGGGGGUGGGGGCGGCCCCCAUGGGGGGAGGGGCACACAGCGCUGUGGGGGAGGGGAGAGGGGUCAGUCAGUGGGGGGACCCUCAAAAAGGGACCCCCAAAAGUUAAAAAAACCCCAAAAAAACCCAAAAAAAUCCCCAAAAAAAUCCCCAAAAAAACCCACAGGCCCGAGACUCCCCAAAACCCCAAAAAGUCCCCAAAAGAGACCCCAAAAGCCCCAAAGUGACGCCCAAAAAGCCCCCAGACCCCAAAAACUUCAAAGUGACCCCAAAAAGCCCAAAAACUCCCCAAAAGUGACCCCAAAAGCCCCAAAGAGGCCCCAAAAGGGACCCCCAAAGCCCCCAGACCCAAAAGCCCCAAAAAAAUCUCCAAAAAGCCCCAGAGGCCCGAGACCCCCCAAAAGCCCAAAAACUCCCCAAAAGUGACCCCAAAAACCCCAAAGUGACGCCCAAAAAGCCCAAAAAAGUCCCCAAAAGUGACCCCCGAGACCCCAAAGAGACCCCAGAGCCCCCAUUGCACCCCACAGCCCAUAGCGCCCCCAUAGCGCCCCAUAACCCCCAUAGCGCCCCAUAACCCACCCCAUAGAACCCCACAGCA
rnacentral:lncRNA from 1 species